UACGUAGGGGGCAAGCGUUGUCCGGAUUUAUUGGGCGUAAAGCGCUCGCAGGUGGUUCGUCGCGUCGUGCGUGAAAGACCCCGGCUCAACUGGGGGAGGUCGUGCGAUACGGGCGGACUGGAGGCCAGUAGGGGGAUGCGGAAUUCCGGGUGUAGUGGUGGAAUGCGUAGAGAUCCGGAGGAACACCAGCGGCGAAGGCGGCAUCCUGGACCAACACUGACGCUGAGUGAGCGAAAGCCAGGGGAGCAAACGGG
rnacentral:rRNA from 1 species